UGCCCCUCACUUGCCAAUACGUCUAGAUCAGCCAGGGCGUCGGCAUGUGUAGCGUAUUAUGUUGGGCUCUCUCGAGAUAAGGAUACGAUGUCCCUUUAUCGGUUGGUUUCCUGUGUGCGCGGCCCGUUCGGUUUUUUUGUUACUUUCGCAUCGUUCGGUGCAUUCUGGGGGCUGUGUUGGCUUUUGGUGGCUUGCUUGGCCUUUUGGCUUUGCUUGUUGCUACUUGUCGGGCUGCUUUCGGGAAUGUCGACCGUGGGGGUGCAUGAGUGGUGUUUGGUUUGUUACGUGUGGAUGGCUGUUUGCUUGUGCAACAACGUUCACGCUGCAUACCUCUUCAGUUUUGCGGCAAGGCUUGGUUUGGCUUGUGCAUAUUGUGGGUUUCCUGUGUUGCAUACCUAGUUGAUGGAAAAGUGUGGGUUUUACGAUUUUCAUUUUCGUCUUGCGUCGUUCUUUUGGCGUGGGAUGAACAAUGAAGCGAUCUUUAUGAUCCAUCGUGCUGUUGCGUUUGCAACAAUGAUGUGGCCUAUGAAGCAUCGUUUGGUCUCUUGUAUACGGAAGCUCAUUUGGGCUUGGGUCUUUAUAAGAUCUUCGUUACGCCCUUGUUAAGCGUUCUCGCUUCUCCUAAACGAUUG
rnacentral:misc_RNA from 1 species